AUUGAACGCUGGCGGCAGGCUUAACACAUGCAAGUCGAGCGGAGAUGAGGUGCUUGCACCUUAUCUUAGCGGCGGACGGGUGAGUAAUGCUUAGGAAUCUGCCAUUUAGUGGGGGACAACAUUCCGAAAGGAAUGCUAAUACCGCAUACGUCCUACGGGAGAAAGCAGGGGAUCUUCGGACCUUGCGCUAAAUGAUGAGCCUAAGUCGGAUUAGCUAGUUGGUGGGGUAAAGGCCUACCAAGGCGACGAUCUGUAGCGGGUCUGAGAGGAUGAUCCGCCACACUGGGACUGAGACACGGCCCAGACUCCUACGGGAGGCAGCCGUGGUGAAUAUUGGACAAUGGGGGGAACCCUGAUCCAGCCAGGCCGCGUGUGUGAAGAAGGCCUUAUGGUUGUAAAGCACUUUAAGCGAGGAGGAGGCUACUGAGACUAAUACUCUUGGAUAGUGGACGUUACUCGCAGAAUAAGCACCGGCUAACUCUGUG
rnacentral:rRNA from 1 species